rnacentral:rRNA from 1 species
GGGGCAGCAUGGUCUUAGCUUGCUAAGACUGAUGGCGACCGGCGCACGGGUGAGUAACACGUAUCCAACCUGCCGUCUACUCUUGGACGGCCUUCUGAAAGGAAGAUUAAUACAAGAUGGCAUCAUGAGUCCGCAUGUUCACAUGAUUAAAGGUAUUCCGGUAGACGAUGGGGAUGCGUUCCAUUAGAUAGUAGGCGGGGUAACGGCCCACCUAGUCUUCGAUGGAUAGGGGUUCUGAGAGGAAGGUCCCCCACAUUGGAACUGAGACACGGUCCAAACUCCUACGGGAGGCAGCAGUGAGGAAUAUUGGUCAAUGGGCGAGAGCCUGAACCAGCCAAGUAGCGUGAAGGAUGACUGCCCUAUGGGUUGUAAACUUCUUUUAUAAAGGAAUAAAGUCGGGUAUGCAUACCCGUUUGCAUGUACUUUAUGAAUAAGGAUCGGCUAACUCCGUGCCAGCAGCCGCGGUAAUACGGAGGAUCCGAGCGUUAUCCGGAUUUAUUGGGUUUAAAGGGAGCGUAGAUGGAUGUUUAAGUCAGUUGUGAAAGUUUGCGGCUCAACCGUAAAAUUGCAGUUGAUACUGGAUAUCUUGAGUGCAGUUGAGGCAGGCGGAAUUCGUGGUGUAGCGGUGAAAUGCUUAGAUAUCACGAAGAACUCCGAUUG